rnacentral:tRNA from 1 species
UCCCUGUUGGUGCAAUCGGCAGCACGCAUGGCCCUGGACCAUGAAAUUGGGGUUCGAGUCCUUAACAGGGAG